rnacentral:guide_RNA from 1 species
ACGAUGACUACCAAAAUUCUAUCUGAUAUGAAUGUG